GACGAACGCUGGCGGCGUGCCUAAUACAUGCAAGUAGAACGCAGUUGCGAACGGGUGAGUAACGCGUAGGUAACUCCCUGGUAGCGGGGGAUAACUAUUGGAAACGAUAGCUAAUACCGCAUACUACCAGAUGGACCUGCGUUGUAUUAGCUAGUUGGUGGGGUAACGGCUCACAAAGGCAACGAUACAUAGCCGAGCUGAGGGGGUGGUCGGCCGGACUGAGACGGGGAAGGGGCCCAGACACGUACGGGAGGCGACGGUAGGGAGUCUGCGGCGAGUAGGGGAACCCUGGCCGAGCGACGCCGCGUGAGUGAGGAAGGUUUUAGGAUCGUAGAGCUCUGUUGUUAAGGAAGCGGUGCUUAACCAGAAAGGGACGGCUGACUACGUGCCAGCAGCCGCGGUAAUAC
rnacentral:rRNA from 1 species